rnacentral:rRNA from 1 species
ACAAUGGGUGACACAUGUCAUUUAUUUGAAAGGGGCAAUUGCUCCACUACAAGAUGGACCUGCGUUGUAUUAGCUAGUAGGUGAGGUAACGGCUCACCUAGGCGACGAUACAUAGCCGACCUGAGAGGGUGAUCGGCCACACUGGGACUGAGACACGGCCCAGACUCCUACGGGAGGCAGCAGUAGGGAAUCUUCGGCAAUGGGGGCAACCCUGACCGAGCAACGCCGCGUGAGUGAAGAAGGUUUUCGGAUCGUAAAGCUCUGUUGUAAGUCAAGAACGAGUGUGAGAGUGGAAAGUUCACACUGUGACGGUAGCUUACCAGAAAGGGACGGCUAACUACGUGCCAGCAGCCGCGGUAAUACGUAGGUCCCGAGCGUUGUCCGGAUUUAUUGGGCGUAAAGCGAGCGCAGGCGGUUUGAUAAGUCUGAAGUUAAAGGCUGUGGCUCAACCAUAGUUCGCUUUGGAAACUGUCAAACUUGAGUGCAGAAGGGGAGAGUGGAAUUCCAUGUGUAGCGGUGAAAUGCGUAGAUAUAUGGAGGAACACCGGUGGCGAAAGCGGCUCUCUGGUCUGUAACUGACGCUGAGGCUCGAAAGCGUGGGGAGCGAACAGGAUUAGAUACCCUGGUAGUCCACGCCGUAAACGGUGGAUGCUGGAUGUGGGGCCCGUUCCACGGGUUCCGUGUCGGAGCUAACGCGUUAAGCAUCCCGCCUGGGGAGUACGGCCGCAAGGCUAAAACUCAAAGAAAUUGACGGGGGCCCGCACAAGCGGCGGAGCAUGCGGAUUAAUUCGAUGCAACGCGAAGAACCUUACCUGGGCUUGACAUGUUCCCGACGGUCGUAGAGAUACGGCUUCCCUUCGGGGCGGGUUCACAGGUGGUGCAUGGUCGUCGUCAGCUCGUGUCGUGAGAUGUUGGGUUAAGUCCCGCAACGAGCGCAACCCUCGCCCCGUGUUGCCAGCGGAUUAUGCCGGGAACUCACGGGGGACCGCCGGGGUUAACUCGGAGGAAGGUGGGGAUGACGUCAGAUCAUCAUGCCCCUUACGUCCAGGGCUUCACGCAUGCUACAAUGGCCGGUACAACGGGAUGCGACGCGGCGACGCGGAGCGGAUCCCUGAAAACCGGUCUCAGUUCGGAUCGCAGUCUGCAACUCGACUGCGUGAAGGCGGAGU